CGCGGCCUAUCAGCUUGUUGGUGGGGUAGUGGCUUACCAAGGCUUUGACGGGUAGCCGGCCUGAGAGGGUGACCGGCCACAUUGGGACUGAGAUACGGCCCAGACUCCUACGGGAGGCAGCAGUGGGGAAUAUUGCACAAUGGGCGGAAGCCUGAUGCAGCAACGCCGCGUGCGGGAUGACGGCCUUCGGGUUGUAAACCGCUUUCGCCUGUGACGAAGCGUGAGUGACGGUAAUGGGUAAAGAAGCACCGGCUAACUACGUGCCAGCAGCCGCGGUGAUACGUAGGGUGCGAGCGUUGUCCGGAUUUAUUGGGCGUAAAGGGCUCAUAGGUGGUUGAUCGCGUCGGAAGUGUAAUCUUGGGGCUUAACCCUGAGCGUGCUUUCGAUACGGGUUGACUUGAGGAAGGUAGGGGAGAAUGGAAUUCCUGGUGGAGCGGUGGAAUGCGCAGAUAUCAGGAGGAACACCAGUGGCGAAGGCGGUUCUCUGGGCCUUUCCUGACGCUGAGGAGCGAAAGCGUGGGGAGCGAACAGGCUUAGAUACCCUGGUAGUCCACGCUGUAAACGGUGGGUACUAGGUGUGGGGUCCAUUCCACGGGUUCCGCGCCGUAGCUAACGCUUUAAGUACCCCGCCUGGGGAGUACGG
rnacentral:rRNA from 1 species